CGGCGAGCUGGAUGGCUGCUGCGCCGGCCACCGCCCCCCUGACGAACACCAACAAGGUGACUUCCGCAAGAUGGGUCGAUGGCUCCACACAACAACAGCAAUUCUGGCGAGGGUCAGAUGCUUGAGUGGGAACAUAAGAUGGUGGCUGCUGAAAGACAGUGCGAUCCCUCCCUUCUGUUGCAGGGGAUGGAUAUAUUUGACUGGGUGGGAGAAGUGCCAGAAAAAUCGACUGAACUGCUCAGUCGUGGGACCCAACAUGUAACAGACGUGGAACCAACACCACCACGAUGGGAGAUGGCUGUGGCAUGUGCACCUUCUAACAACCCUACCACAACGAAGGUCAAAAAUUAAUUAUGAUUGUAGUGUUGCUCACGCUGCUAAAUAUUGCAUUUUCGGGCAACAACAAAGUUAUAUUAUGUGGCAGGUGUCAUUAGAGCGUAGUUAAUAAAGUCAU